rnacentral:rRNA from 1 species
CAGCCGCCGCGGUAAUACGUAGGUGGCAAGCGUUGUCCGGAAUUAUUGGGCGUAAAGGGCUCGCAGGCGGUUUCUUAAGUCUGAUGUGAAAGCUCCCGGCUCAACCGGGGAGGGUCAUUGGAAACUGGGAAACUUGAGUGCAGAAGAGGAGAGUGGAAUUCCACGUGUAGCGGUGAAAUGCGUAGAGAUGUGGAGGAACACCAGUGGCGAAGGCGACUCUCUGGUCUGUAACUGACGCUGAGGAGCGAAAGCGUGGGGAGCGAACAGGAUUAGAUACCCCGGUAGUCCCUGUCUCUUAUAC